UACAGAGGUGGCAAGCGUUGUUCGGAAUUACUGGGCGUAAAGGGCGCGUAGGCGGUCCGAUAAGUCCCGUGUGAAAGCCCCCGGCUCAACUGGGGAACUGCACGGGAAACUGACGGACUUGAGUUCGGGAGAGGGAAGCGGAAUUCCGGGUGUAGCGGUGAAAUGCGUGGAUAUCCGGAGGAACACCGGUGGCGAAGGCGGCUUCCUGGACCGACACUGACGCUGAGGCGCGAAAGCUAGGGGAGCAAACGGG
rnacentral:rRNA from 1 species